GGCUCCAGUCUUAACUGCAGGC
rnacentral:miRNA from 1 species